rnacentral:tRNA from 1 species
UUAUAUAAAGUAAAAUUACAUUUAAUUUCGACUUAAACUUAAGGUAUCAAAAUUACCAUAUAUAAA